rnacentral:rRNA from 1 species
AACGAACGCUGGCGGCAUGCCUAACACAUGCAAGUCGAACAAGACCUUCGGGUCUAGUGGCGCACGGGUGCGUAACGCGUGGGAACCUGCCCUUAGGUUCGGAAUAACUCCCCGAAAGGGGUGCUAAUACCGGAUAAUGUCUUCGGACCAAAGAUUUAUCGCCUUUGGAUGGGCCCGCGUUGGAUUAGCUAGUUGGUAGGGUAAAAGCCUACCAAGGCGACGAUCCAUAGCUGGUCUGAGAGGAUGAUCAGCCACACUGGGACUGAGACACGGCCCAGACUCCUACGGGAAGCAGCAGUGGGGAAUAUUGGACAAUGGGCGAAAGCCUGAUCCAGCAAUGCCGCGUGAGUGAUGAAGGCCUUAGGGUUGUAAAGCUCUUUUACCCGGGAUGAUAAUGACAGUACCGGGAGAAUAAGCGCCGGCUAACUCCGUG